AGGAGGAGGAACAAGCGCAGACAAUGGAGCCGGCUAUAAACAACUGCCAUGAGACUCCAGAUUUCCCUGAUAAUAACAUCUGUCAGGAGGAAGAACGUAUCCAAGAAUCUUUGGAUGAGAGAGGAGUCCCUCAAUUUGACACCUGCGAGG